GAUGAAGAACGUAGCGAAAUGCGAUAAGUAAUGUGAAUUGCAGAAUUCAGUGAAUCAUCGAAUCUUUGAACGCACAUUGCGCCCGCCAGUACUCUGGCGGGCAUGCCUGUUCGAGCGUCAUUUCAACCCUCGGGCCCCGCAUUCGUGCGGCCCCGGCGUUGGGGACCGGCCUCCGCAUCGGACGGCCGCCCCCGAAACCCAGUGGCGGUCCCGCCGCGGCCUUCUCUGCGUAGUAGCAUGCACCUCGCACUGGAGAGCGGCGCGGCCACGCCGUAAAAGAAACGAACUUUCUGAAGGUUGACCUCGGAUCAGGUAGGAAUACCCGCUGAACUUAAGCAUAUCAAUAAGCGGAGGA
rnacentral:misc_RNA from 1 species